rnacentral:rRNA from 1 species
CCUACGGGAGGCAGCAGUGAGGAAUAUUGGUCAAUGGACGAGAGUCUGAACCAGCCAAGUAGCGUGAAGGAUGACUGCCCUAUGGGUUGUAAACUUCUUUUAUAUGGGAAUAAAAUGUUCCACGUGUGGGAGUUUGUAUGUACCAUACGAAUAAGGAUCGGCUAACUCCGUGCCAGCAGCCGCGGUAAUACGGAGGAUCCGAGCGUUAUCCGGAUUUAUUGGGUUUAAAGGGAGCGUAGGUGGAUUGUUAAGUUAGUUGUGAAAGUUUGCGGCUCAACCGUAAAAUUGCAGUUGAAACUGGCAGUCUUGAGUACAGUAGAGGUAGGCGGAAUGCGUGGUGUAGCGGUGAAAUGCUUAGAUAUCACGAAGAACUCCGAUUGCGAAGGCAGCUCACUGGACUGCAACUGACACUGAGGCUCGAAAGUGUGGGUAUCAAACAGGAUUAGAUACCCCAGUAGUC